CCAAAAGGAAAGAAUUCCACCUCAUCCCAUUUUAAAAACAUAUUUCAAUAAGCGCAAAUGCUUUCUUUUUCUUUUUUUUUUUUGAAGAUGUGAAAUCUUGUACUGGUCGUUGGUUGUUUCUCUUUCAGUACAAUCAGAAAAUAGUGGAAUACUGAAUUAUGGGAAGCUUCCAUUAUCUCAGGUGUCAACAUUCCAUAGGUUGGUGUGGGGGCAGUUUUUAUGUUCUAUAAUACAAAGCAUACUAAAUGGAAUAAAUGGAAAUUUAGAGUCACAGUUAAACAUUCGACUUAUGUCUUCUCUUUUAAGCAUUUUAAACUACCUCUAUUAUAUUGAUUUUUAGAAGAAUUGUUUUCUAAAGAAAACUGCUUCCUGAUGUUGGCGCAGGUGGGCUCUCUGUGAUAUCUGCGGCCAUGGUAGUCCAUUUUUCCUACUAACUUUGUUAAUGUCCUGAGAAAAACUAGAAAUUUGAAUAGUGCUGUGUUUAGUCAUUCCUCCCAAUGCCAGUGAUCCCUUAAAUCUGGGUGUUGUCCAUCAUCAUCCCUGCCCGUCUCCGUGCAUCCACAACUGCCACAUCCUGAGAGCUCAGUCCAUCAUAAAUGCAAUUAUAGCCUUUUACCUCCUCCUCACCAGAUACUCUCUACAGGGCAAGUUCAUCAAACUGUGUGCUUAGAAGCUCUGGAGCAGAACUCUCACCCACCAGAAGAUUGCCUCAAGAGAUAAAAGAUGAUUUACAACCCAAAGUAUGCCCACUAGAGGUUUUGGCCAUUUUUACAAUGUAUUCCUGCCCAUGAAGAUGCCAACUUGACUGCCCAAUACAUAAAGCACCAAAGCAAGUAUGCGGACCCCCCCACACCUCCUCACUUCUGCUCCUGUGUAGACCCCCAUCUUUAAAAGCACUUACUUUCUCCUGCAAAAGCAAAUCAGACCCUUACAGCAGGAAGGCUUUUCUUCUUCUCCUAAACUAGCUUUGGAAUAAAAAGUUAUUUUCUUUA
rnacentral:lncRNA from 1 species